UACGGAGGGGCUAGCGUUGUUCGGAAUUACUGGGCGUAAAGCGCACGUAGGCGGAUCAGUAAGUUAGAGGUGAAAGCCCAGGGCUCAACCCUGGAACUGCCUUUGAUACUGCUAGUCUAGAGAUCGAGAGAGGUGAGUGGAAUUCCUGGUGUAGCGGUGAAAUGCGCAGAUAUCAGGAGGAACACCGGUGGCGAAGGCGGCUCACUAGCCCAUAACUGACGCUGAGGCACGAAAGCGUGGGGAGCAAACAGG
rnacentral:rRNA from 1 species